rnacentral:rRNA from 1 species
CUACGGGAGGCAGCAGUGAGGAAUUUUGCUCAAUGGGGGGAACCCUGACGCAGCAACGCCGCGUGAGUGAUGAAGGCUUUCGGGUCGUAAAGCUCUGUCAAGUGGGAAGAACCUAUGCAGUGUUAAUAUCACUGUAUACUGACGGUACCACUGAAGGAAGCACCGGCUAACUCCGUGCCAGCAGCCGCGGUAAUACGGGGGGUGCAAGCGUUAUUCGGAAUCAUUGGGCGUAAAGGGCACGUAGGCGGCUUGGUAAGUCAGAUGUGAAAGCCCGGGGCUUAACCCCGGAAGUGCAUUUGAUACUGUCAGGCGUGAGUAUGGGAGAGGGAAGUGGAAUUCCUGGUGUAGAGGUGAAAUUCGUAGAUAUCAGGAGGAACACCGGUGGCGAAGGCGACUUCCUGGACCAAUACUGACGCUGAGGUGCGAAGGCGUGGGUAGCAAACAGGAUUAGAUACCCCCGUAGUC